CCCUGGUGGAGAACAGCCAAGGUGACUGCGCAGACGUGCUCGAGCUGUCGUAUGGAGGAUGCUACAGUACCACCAACUACUUGGAAAAGAUAUUCUCGCCUAGUUCGUCGGAACUUUGUGUCUGUGGCCCUCCCUGUGUUUGUGGUUACAACUAUAUACUUGGAUUUGUCCAGAACCAAACGCUUCAAGGAACAGCGUGCGAAGCAGUCAGUUACAUCAGAGUUAGUGUGAUUACCAGCUGGCCUGAAGAUGGGAUCUUUUGUACAGAAGUUUGGCAUUGUGGGUUUAGCUGUCACAGCUUACAUCAUUGGACGAUACAUUGAGCAGGCGGAUGACAAGACGUUAUUUAGGAACAAGAGCAAAUUGUUUGGUGGCCGUGAACUUCCCCCUGGCCAGGAGCUCUGGAAAUAACCCCAGUCCAUGAGGGAGACAUUGUGUGUGUGUGUGUGUGUUACAAAUUCCAGUAGACAUUUCUAGAAGAUAUAUUUCUUUUCUCUCUGUAAUGUUACAAAGUUUGGUGUAGGUGAGAACGACGUACACCUGAUGUUCACAUUGGUCAUGAG